CUGCUAAAAACAAAAAUAUGAACCUGGAAGAUUUCAUGGUGUUUUGGGGCUCUUGUGAACCCUGCUUAUGCUCUGAUUUACCAUGCCUUUUCUCUUUCCUAGUUGUACUAUACCAACUGAUUUCUGCAGACAGAAAAGCAGCUGCCAAACAAAACAUCCAGGAAAACCAGGUCUCUAGAACGCUGUCUCCAACAGCACAGGGCAAAGGUACACACUGCUGUGGGGAGAGGCCAGCCACUUCUGGGCUGUACAGCCAGGAUGUAUAGAGGAACUUGAAGCAACUUUACCUUCAGGAAUGCAUCAAUGUCUCCAACCGCAGGAAUAAAGUCUGGAAUAAAAGGC